GACGAACGCUGGCGGCGUGCCUAAUACAUGCAAGUAGAACGCUGAAGAGAGGAGCUUGCUCUUCUUGGAUGAGUUGCGAACGGGUGAGUAACGCGUAGGUAACCUGCCUUUUAGCGGGGGAUAACUAUUGGAAACGAUAGCUAAUACCGCAUAACAAUGGAUGACACAUGUCAUUUAUUUGAAAGGGGCAAUUGCUCCACUACAAGAUGGACCUGCGUUGCAUUAGCUAGUAGGUGAGGUAAUGGCUCACCUAGGCGACGAUACAUAGACGACCUGAGAGGGUGGUCGGCCAAACUGGGACUGAGACACGGCCCAGACUCCUACGGGAGGCAGCAGUAGGGAAACUUCGGCAAUGGGGGCAACCCUGACCGAGCAACGCCGCGGGAGUGAAGAAGGUUUUCGGAUCGUAAAGCUCUGUUGUAAGUCAAGAACGGGUGUGAGAGUGGAAAGUUCACACUGUGACGGUAGCUUACCAGAAAGGGACGGCUAACUACGUG
rnacentral:rRNA from 1 species